UACGUAUGGUGCAAGCGUUAUCCGGAUUUACUGGGUGUAAAGGGAGCGUAGACGGCUGUGUAAGUCUGAAGUGAAAGCCCGGAGCUCAACCCCGGGACUGCUUUGGAAACUAUGCAGCUAGAGUGUCGGAGAGGUAAGUGGAAUUCCCAGUGUAGCGGUGAAAUGCGUAGAUAUUGGGAGGAACACCAGUGGCGAAGGCGGCUUACUGGACGAUGACUGACGUUGAGGCUCGAAAGCGUGGGGAGCAAACAGG
rnacentral:rRNA from 1 species